rnacentral:rRNA from 1 species
AUUGAACGCUGGCGGCAUGCCUUACACAUGCAAGUCGAACGGUAACGCGGGGCAACCUGGCGACGAGUGGCGAACGGGUGAGUAAUACAUCGGAACGUGCCCAGUAGUGGGGGAUAGCCCGGCGAAAGCCGGAUUAAUACCGCAUACGACCUACGGGUGAAAGCGGGGGAUCGCAAGACCUCGCGCUAUUGGAGCGGCCGAUGUCAGAUUAGGUAGUUGGUGGGGUAAAAGCCUACCAAGCCGACGAUCUGUAGCUGGUCUGAGAGGACGACCAGCCACACUGGGACUGAGACACGGCCCAGACUCCUACGGGAGGCAGCAGUGGGGAAUUUUGGACAAUGGGCGCAAGCCUGAUCCAGCCAUGCCGCGUGCGGGAAGAAGGCCUUCGGGUUGUAAACCGCUUUUGUCAGGGAAGAAACGCACUGGGCUAAUACCCCGGUGUAAUGACGGUACCUGAAGAAUAAGCACCGGCUAACUACGUGCCAGCAGCCGCGGUAAUA